rnacentral:rRNA from 1 species
UGGGGAAUUGUUCGCAAUGGGCGCAAGCCUGACGACGCAACGCCGCGUGGAGGAUGAAGACCUUCGGGUCGUAAACUCCUUUCGAUCGAGACGAACGGCCUUCGGGUGAACAAUCCGGAGGAGUGACGGUACCGAGAGAAGAAGCCCCGGCUAACUCCGUGCCCGCAGCCGCGGUAAUACGGGGGGGGCAAGCGUUGUUCGGAAUUACCGGGCGUAAAGGGCUCGUAGGCGGCCAACUAAGUCGGACGUGAAAUCCCUCGGCUUAACCGGGGAACUGCGUCUGAUACUGGAUGGCUUGAGUUCGGGAGAGGGAUGCGGAAUUCCAGGUGUGGCGGUGAAAUGCGUAGAUAUCUGGAGGAACACCGGUGGCGAAGGCGGCAUCCUGGACCGACACUGACGCUGAGGAGCGAAAGCCAGGGGAGCAA